UUGAGAAGAUAAGAGUGAUACGGUUGGGAGAUGAUGAAGUUUGGGAUUCGGGAGGAUGAAGUUCGAAGCUAGGAUGAGAGCGGGUUGCUUGGUAGAGAAAAGUGGAGGAGUGGAUGGAGCUUUGGGAUUCGUGCAAAUAUGAUGAUAUGCUUUGAGAUCUGAGAGACAAAUAAUUGAAGGGAUUUUAUUGUUUUUGAGAUUAAAAUAGGAGAAUUGGAUUAUGUGGAAAGAAAAUUAGGUGACUGAAUCAGAGGGUCUUGAUUUGCGGGGUGCAUGUGGUUUAGGUCCAAGAAUAAUCCCUAAUGAACUUGACUCA
rnacentral:lncRNA from 1 species